rnacentral:lncRNA from 1 species
CUUGGGGUCGAGCACUCGGGUCAGCGCGUCGACGGCGGCAGUGUCACACGCGCUUAGGGCGUCGAUGAGUGCGUCGGGCGUUGCCUCGAAUGACCGGCAGCCGACCGCGUGCAUCCAUCCCAGUAGGUCGUGCUGGUGGGCGUCGAUCGCCGCUCUGGCAAUAGUUGAUGGACAGCGGCAGGUCUUUGCGCCGUCUGUGCCUGCCGACUCUUGGUCGGUCCAGCGCUCGUGGGCAAAGGCAACCACGGCCUGAUGACCAUGGCGGGCAGCCUCUGCAAUGGUGUGCUCCAUCAGGAGACGUGACGGCGGCCGUAUGAGCGGGCAUGCGUCGACGAGGUAGCGGAUCACGUCGACAUGGCCGCGGCACGAUGCCUCGCGCAUGGACACGGCAAGCGCCGACGGUGUGUCUCCCUGGAAGGAUGCGCCAGCCGGCGAGUACACCGUAAACAUGGGUUCGAACAGCGAGUCAGGGCUCGGACCAAGGUCGGGCGAGGCGGGUCGAGAGCCGCCGCGCGAGCACGUUCCGACCAUCUCGUCACCCGAACCAUAGCACAUAUCGGGCGAGACCGGUCGGCUUCCGGCAGUGUCGGAAGGGUGGUCGCGCGAGUCGCUGUCGACGGCCUCGGUGUCAAGAAAAGGGCAAGGCGAUGGCGGCCUCUUGUCGUCGUCGGUGGCCCAUGGCACGCGGAAAGCGAAAUCGGUCUCGGCGUGUGGCAUAUGGACGCCGGUUGACGAGCGGGGCGCCGACAUUUGACGCGGAUAGAUAGGCACCUCUGGGUACGGCCAGCAUCCAAAGUCCCACGACCCCGGCGCUUGCGCAAUCGAUUCGCACAUCCACCGUACGACGUCCGUUCGUCCGCCUCUGGCGGCGUAGACCAUAUCGGCUACGGAAAGGAUCAGUGGCCAGCGGUCAUAGAGGCCUUGCACGACAUCUAACGGAGCCCCCAACUCGAUGAUAUAGCCGAUCCGCCCCGUGAAAGAGCGCGCCAGCAGGUCGAGCAGAUGAUGGCCGUCAAACACGGGCGAUGCGCGCAUACAGGCGACCAUGUCGCUGCACGUAUCUAGUUGUUGUGCGAUGAGAUCGAUGAUCUCGGGAGGCAUCUCUGAAAGGCCGGGGCCUAAUGCGUCAUCGGCGGUGGCCAGCGGCACAAAGGGAUGGAGAGCAGCCAUCGUGGUCGUCGCAAUUCAAGGUCUGUCACGGCAACACCUUUUUUUUUCUCCUCUACAAUGGAUCUUGUCGCGAUGCGAAUGGCAGUCGCUCGUGCCGACCCACCUCAGUGCCCUUUGUUUUCCAUCUAGCGUAUUCGCUGCGUGCACGCCCGCUGCGAUUUUACGACGGCUGCGCCAAUGAAUGCUACUCGUGGCGUUGCACAAACUCUAGGCGAAAAAAGCCAAAACAAAGAUCUUGUCUGGGC